GUAAGCUUUUCUUUUUCCUCAUAAGCAUUCUAUUUUCUUUAACUUCCUUUGCUUUUAUGUUAAUUCUUUUUCUUUAUUACAUUCUCGUUGCGCAGUAUGGAGUGUCUAUUGCCACUCUGAAACUGAGAAACCAUCUUCAGAUUAGAAUUAUUUUAAUUUUAGAUCUCAAUAGCAAUUAAUGUUACAUUUCUUACUCGAAGAUUUUUAUCGCUUGAACUUUCAUCUCAAUAGCAAUUCAUGUGUUCUUAUUAUUUCCCUUUUCAGUCAGUUUAGAGUGAUCCACAUAUCCAAUAUCGAAUUCAAAACUAUAAUAGAAUCCAAAGGUGUACCAUACACAAGAUUUGUUUCCUAUGUAUCAAAAAUACAAAUGUUUGCCUCCCAAUAAAUUUAACACCUAAAAGCAUCAGCACUAUUUAGGUUUUUAUUAAUGAUUCAGCCCCAUCAUAGAGAUCGAUUGGGAAUACAUGUGAUGAUUAAAACAGAUGGCUCUCCAACUGAUGUAAGUUAUUCUUUUCCAUCAGAAGCUUUUUAUUUUUGUUUACUUCACUUUGAUUUGUUGUUGAUUCUUUUCCUUUUUAAAACCUUGUUGAGCAGUGUGGAAUGUCUUUUCCUCAAGAAAGUUGAUUGCUUAAUAUAUGUUAGCAGAUGUCAUCACCUUUGGAGAUAAAGGGUCCAAGAAAUACAACCUCACUUUCUCAAUCAGAGAACUUUGAGGAUUAUGAAGUUUCCUUCAAAUUAUGUCCAUUACUCAACCUCGAGUGGCACCUUACAGCUAGUGGGAAGUCAAGAAAGUAUAUCCUGCUCGGAAUGAAGUCAAGUCAUCAAUCAGCGAAACAGAGAAAUCAACUGUUUCAAAAUUCUCUAGAACCCAUUUCGAGUUUCACGCCUUCAUUUCUGAUGACACCCAAGACACAAAAGACAUCAACAGAGUAGAAGAAUUCAACCCAACACCCAUUUCAAC